CUACCCUCCCACCUCCCCUCCACUGGACCUCACCACCUACCCUCCCACCUCCCCUCCCCUGGUUGUGUCUGACACCUCCCGAAGCUCCCCAUCCCUUUGUUCAUCCCCUGGUGGCAGCAGGGCUCAUCCCAUCGGACCUGGCAGAGAUCCUGGCACCCCGCAACUAUCUGAAAAAACAACAGCGGUGGCUGACUGUGGCUGCAAGGGUCAUCACGGGAGAUGACUACCAGCGGCUCCUCCGGGAGCGUGAAGAAAAAGAGCAGGCGGUAGCUACCCUCAGGGCGCAAAAGGCACAGGAGAGGAGCGAGCGGGCCCGGUUAAAGGCGGCCCGCCCCACCAUCCGCCAACGGAACGCCACCGGCAGGAAGAACACCCCCGCAACCUCCUCCACCACCACCACUGGUCCUGGGACCACCGCCGGCAGGAAGAGCCCCCCCCCAGCCUCCAGCCGCCGUGCCUCUUCACCCCCCAGCACCUCUGCUCUGUCCAUCUCUGGCAACACCAUUGCCAGUCCCUCAGCCCACUGCCCCACUCCUAGCCACGAGGCUCCCCCAACAACAACAAGGGCCCGCGCCCUUCCAUUCGACUGCCUGCCUCUACCUUCCAACUGCCCGCCUCCACUGUAAAAAGGAAAAGAUCAGCGGCCAGUACACCUCCAACCCAUCCUCCCUCCACAGCUUCAACCCACUCGGAUUAUCAUUCAUCUGAGCCAAGAACCCGUUCCCCGCCCUCCUCGUCUUCCCAAGAACCAGCGCUCACCAGGCCCAUGACACCACCAACAGCUGGACCAUCAACAGUGGUAGAGGAUGGGGUCAGUCUCUGUCGGUCGUGUUUGGAGACUGACUCCCCUCAAAAAAAUGUCGAGGUGGUGUCAUGGGUCCAGUGUGAAUACUGUGAGCGCUGGUUCCACUCCUCCUGUGUGGAUUGGGAGGACGAGGAGGAUGGGGACUUUUACUGUACAUAUUGUGUUGAAUGAAUGUGUAAUUAAAUUUAUUUAUUUGAUUUGCUGUGUCUUAUCAUGCUUGGUUUCAUGUAAACAAACAACCUAAAUGAUAAAUGUGUACACUUAACCUAAUAUAAAUAAUGUGUAAAUGUAGGACACCAAACACUACUUUUAAUAGUUAGGCUAAGAGACCAAGUUUAAGCAAAGAGGGUAUCGAUACACUCAAAUUGGGAAUGAUGUCCUCAGCUGAAGAUGAGAGGAAUAAAGGAAGCGUAAACCGGACGAUUCGCAUUUUCGUUGAACAGUGGUUGAACAGACAGAACGGACCACCAUGACUAGGUUAGUAGACUUCGUCGUCACGUUCGUCAAUGUUUAUCACUUUGACAAAGCUAGCCUAGUCUAGCUAGCUAGCCAUGGGGAAUCUCUUCCGUCUGUUCAAUCACUCUUCAACGAAAAUGCGAAGUUUGACGCUGCAUAACAUGACAUGGUAGAGCUAGGCUAGAGCUAGGCUAGCUCUGGACGUUCUGCACUGCACAUAAGCCUAUGGUUUGAAAGCAUGUUUGAAUAUUAAAAUAACAAAGUAGGAGGCUGUAAUUUGGUAUACAUGCAAUAUAAGGUGUAUACACAUCGUAAACUUACUUUAUUUCGUUUCUGUGGCAACUAUUCCUUUACAAACUAGCUGAAAAAACGGUCUCGGCCGAUAAUUGGGUCUAGAAAGUUGGGGUGGACGAUAAUGGGACCCCCUGACUGCCAAAAUAUUUUUUUUUUUUUUUUUUUUGGCAUAUCCCUAUUCGUUUUUAUAACCGGAAUGUUGUAAUACACGAGUAUAUAUUAAAGUACAAUGCUUUGACUUGACGUUUUUAAUUAGUAUUUUAUCGACGUUUUUGUGAAAUUUGUAUGAGCGUCGAGAGCUAGGUGGACGAUAA